rnacentral:rRNA from 1 species
GAUGAACGCUGGCGGCGUGCCUAAUACAUGCAAGUCGAGCGAACGGACGAGAAGCUUGCUUCUCUGAUGUUAGCGGCGGACGGGUGAGUAACACGUGGAUAACCUACCUAUAAGACUGGGAUAACUUCGGUAAACCGGAGCUAAUACCGGAUGAUUCUUUGAACCGCAUGGUUCAAAAGUGAAAGACUGUCUUGCUGUCACUUAUAGAUGGAUCCGCGCUGCAUUAGUUAGUUGGUAAGGAAACGGCUUACCAAGGCAACAAUGCAUAGCCGACCUGAGAGGGUGAUAGGACAGAAUAGAACUGAGACACGAUCCAGACUCCUACGGGAGGCAGCAUGAGGGAAUCGUCCGCAAUAGGCGAAAGCCUUACGGAGCAACGCCGCGUGAGUGAUGAAGGUCUUCGGAUCGUAAAACUCUGUUAUUAGGGAAGAACAUUUCUGUAAGUAACUGUGCACAUCUUGACGGUACCUAAUCAGAAAGCCACGGCUAACUACGUG